AACUUUUCAGCCUUCAAAGCUGAAAUUAACUUCACCACUCUACUCGGCUGUGAACCCUAAAACACGAAUUCUGGAGACUUCACAUCUCCAAAUAUAACCUUUUUCGCUUGACAAUCGAUAGUGGCCUGGUGCUUAUCCAACCAGUCCAUUCCAAGAAUGACAUCGAAAUCGUGCAUACUCAUCGGAAGAAGAUUAGCCCUACGAAUUUUAUCCCCAAAACUGAUCGGACACCCUCGAUACAAAUCAGAAAUAAUAACUGAAGUCCCCAUCGGGGUAGCAAUAGACAUAACAGAAUCUAAAGACUGAGAUGGCACACCCAGGUGCUGAACAAAAG
rnacentral:lncRNA from 1 species